GUCCUUGUAGCUUAUAACCAAAGCAUGGCACUGAAGAUGCCAAGAUGAUGCUGCAUGCACCCAAGGACA
rnacentral:tRNA from 1 species